GAAAUGCGAUAAGUAAUGUGAAUUGCAGAAUUCAGUGAAUCAUCGAAUCUUUGAACGCACCUUGCGCCCUUUGGUAUUCCGAAGGGCAUGCCUGUUUGAGUGUCAUUAAAUUCUCAACCUUAGGAGGCUUUGUCUUUUCUAAGGCUUGGAUGUGGAGGUUGCGGGCUUCUCAAGUCGGCUCCUCUGAAAUGCAUUAGCUGGGUUUGCGCCUUCAGCCUAUUGGUGUGAUAAUUAUCUACGCCUCUUGGGUCGUUAGCGUGUAUAAAUCUUUCCAGCUUCUAACCGUCCGCAAGGACAAUACUUGACCAUUUGACCUCAAAUCAGGUAGGAUUACCCGCUGAACUUAA
rnacentral:rRNA from 1 species